rnacentral:rRNA from 1 species
GGAAUAUUGCGCAAUGGGGGGAACCCUGACGCAGCAACGCCGCGUGAGUGAAGAAGGCCUUCGGGUUGUAAAGCUCUUUAAUCAGGGACGAAGAAUGACGGUACCUGAAGAAUAAGCUCCGGCUAACUACGUGCCAGCAGCCGCGGUAAUACGUAGGGAGCAAGCGUUGUCCGGAAUUACUGGGUGUAAAGGGAGCGUAGGCGGGAGGAUAAGUUGAAUGUGAAAUCCACAGGCUCAACCUGUGGCUGCGUUCAAAACUGUUCUUCUUGAGUGAAGUAGAGGCAGGCGGAAUUCCUAGUGUAGCGGUGAAAUGCGUAGAUAUUAGGAGGAACACCAGUGGCGAAGGCGGCCUGCUGGGCUUUUACUGACGCUGAGGCUCGAAAGCGUGGGUAGCAAACAG